GACGUAGGGUGCGAGCGUUGUCCGGAAUUAUUGGGCGUAAAGAGCUCGUAGGCGGCUUGUCGCGUCGGAUGUGAAAGCCCGGGGCUUAACUCCGGGUCUGCAUUCGAUACGGGCAGGCUAGAGUUCGGUAGGGGAGAUCGGAAUUCCUGGUGUAGCGGUGAAAUGCGCAGAUAUCAGGAGGAACACCGGUGGCGAAGGCGGAUCUCUGGGCCGAUACUGACGCUGAGGAGCGAAAGCGUGGGGAGCGAACAGG
rnacentral:rRNA from 1 species